rnacentral:rRNA from 1 species
AUGGGGAUCUCACUGCUCCACACGCAGUGGCAGCUGAUCGCACAGCUGCCCCAGCAAUGGCAGCUCCUCGUCCUUCUAGCCACCCUCCUCCUCCCCGCCGUCUCCUACCUGCUGCUGAUAACGAGGGGCGACGCCGAGGGGGGACGGCUGAGGCUGCCGCCCGGCCCUGCCCGGGUGCCGGUGCUCGGCAACCUGCACCAGCUCGGCCGGCUACCGCACCGCAGCCUGCGCGACCUGGCCCGGCGGCACGGCCCCGUCAUGCUGCUUCGCUUCGGCACGGUGCCGACGCUGGUGGUCUCGUCUGCCGCUGCAGCGCGCGACGUGAUGAAGACGCACGACGCCGACUGCUGCAGCCGGUUCGUGUCUCCGGGCCCUGCGCGGCUCUCCUACGGUGACAAAAGCAUCGCCUCCUCGCCCUACGGCGCCUACUGGCAGGACAUGCGCAGGCUCUUCGCCGCCGAGCUCUUCGGCCCGCGGGGCGUUCGCGCCGUAUGGGCCGCGCGGCGGGAUCAGGUUGACAGGCUCAUGGCCGUCCUGGGCACGGCGGCAGCGACGGCGGCUCCGUUGGCGAUGGACGAGCACGUGUUCCGCGUCGCCGACGGCAUCAUCGGCACCGUGGCGUACGGGCGCAUCUACGCCUCGGAGGCGUUCGCUCGCAAGUACGAGCAGUUCCAGCACGUGCUCGAGGAGGCCAUGGACAUGUCGGCCAGCUUUUCGGCCGAAGACUUCUUCCCCAACGCCGCCGGCCGCCUCGUCGACCGGCUCACCGGCAUCAUCGCGCGGCGAGAGAGAAUCUUUAGAGACCUGGACGCCUUCUUCGAGGUGGUGCUGGAGCAGCAUCUUGACCCCGCGCGCCCCAAGCCAGAGAGCGGUGACGGCGACCUCGUAGACGCCUUCGUCAGAGCUUGGGAGGAGCACGGCUUCACGAGGGACCACACGAAGGCGAUGCUCCUGGACGCGUUCCUCGGCGGCGUCGAGGGCAGCUCUAUCACGAUCCUGUGGGCGAUGUCGGAGCUGGUUCGGAACCCGUCGGCGCUGAAGAAGGCACAAGGUGAGAUCAGGGCCGCGGUGACCGCCCGCGAUGUCUCGCCGCCGGGGCUGCCCGUCCAGCCGGACGAUCUGCCCAAACUAACCUACCUGAAGAUGGUCGUCAAAGAGACCAUCCGGCUGCACCCACCGGCGCCUCUGCUGCUGCCGCGGGAGACGAUGCGUCGCGUGGAGAUCAGCGGCUACGACGUGCCGGCGAGGACGCGCGUGCUGGUGAACGUGUGGGCCAUCGGAAGGGACCCGACAAGCUGGGGGCAAGACGCCGACGAGUUCAAGCCGGAGAGAUUCGAGACGGACGGGAGGCACGGCAAGGUGGACUUGCGCGGCGCGCACUUCGAACUGCUGCCGUUCGGCGCGGGCCGGCGGAUCUGCCCCGGGCUGGCUAUGGCGGUGGCGACUGUGGAGUUCACGCUGGCCAACAUGCUAUGCAGCUUCGACUGGAUGCUGCCGGAGGGGACGGCGGCGGAGGACAUGAGCAUGGAGGAGGCCGGCAAGCUAACCUUCCACCGCAAGACGUCGCUGGUGCUCGUGCCCACGCCUUACCGCCGCAAUUAG